GAUGAAGAACGCAGUGAAAUGCGAUAAGUAAUGUGAAUUGCAGAAUUCAGUGAAUCAUCGAAUCUUUGAACGCAUCUUGCGCUCCUUGGUAUUCUGAGGAGCAUGCCUGUUUGAGUGUCAUUAAAUUCUCAACUACACUGACUUUGAAUUGGUGUGGCUUGGAUUUGGGGGGAAAAUUGUUGUGGGCUUUUUGUAUAGUCUGCUCCCCUGAAAUUGAUUAGCGGUACCUUUGUGGAACUGUCUACAGGUGUGAUAAUUAUCUACAUCUUAGACAUCUGCUGGAAUGCUGCUUUCUAAACCUUACUUGUAUUGACAAUCAUGACCUCAAAUCAGGUAGGACUACCCGCUGAACUUAAGCAUAUCAAUAAGCGGAGGA
rnacentral:misc_RNA from 1 species